rnacentral:rRNA from 1 species
UACGGGGGGGGCAAGCGUUGUUCGGAAUUACUGGGCGUAAAGGGAGCGUAGGGGGGCUGGUAAGUCAGUGGUGAAAUCUCCGGGCUUAACUCGGAAACUGCCGUUGAUACUAUCAGUCUUGAAUAUUGUGGAGGUAAGCGGAAUAUGUCAUGUAGCGGUGAAAUGCUUAGAUAUGACAUAGAACACCGAUAGCGAAGGCAGCUUGCUACACAAUUAUUGACACUGAGGCUCGAAAGCGUGGGGAUCAAACAGG